UUGGUUUUCGGACCAAGAGACCGGCGCACGGGUGCGUAACGCGUAUGCAAUCUACCUUUUACAGAGGGAUAGCCCAGAGAAAUUUGGAUUAAUACCUCAUAGUAUUAUUGAAUGGCAUCAUUUAAUAAUUAAAGUUCCAACGGUAAAAGAUGAGCAUGCGUCCCAUUAGCUAGAUGGUAAGGUAACGGCUUACCAUGGCAACGAUGGGUAGGGGUCCUGAGAGGGAGAUCCCCCACACUGGUACUGAGACACGGACCAGACUCCUACGGGAGGCAGCAGUGAGGAAUAUUGGUCAAUGGGCGCAAGCCUGAACCAGCCAUGCCGCGUGCAGGAUGACGGUCCUAUGGA
rnacentral:rRNA from 1 species